AUUGAACGCUAGCGGCAGGCCUAACACAUGCAGGUCGAGCGAGGGGCGGUUGGGUGAGUAAUGUAUGUGGACUGCCCGAUGGAGGGGGAUACCUGCUGGACACGGUUGCUACUACCGCAUACGGUCAGAGAACACAUAUGGGUUUAGCUAGUAGGUAAGGUAAUGGCUGACAUAGGCGACGAUCCCUAGCUGGUCUGAGAGGAUGAGCAGCCACACUGGGACUGAGACACGGCCCAGAAGCCUACGGAGGCAGCAGUGGGGAAUAUUGCACAAUGGGCGCAAGCCUGAUACAGCCAUGCCGCGUGUAUGAAGAAGGCCCUAGGGUUGUAAAGGACUUUCAGUCGGGAGGCGUGACCGACAGAAGAAGCACCGGCUAACUCCGUGCCAGCAGCCGCGGUAAUAC
rnacentral:rRNA from 1 species